rnacentral:rRNA from 1 species
AUGAACGCUGGCGGCGUGCCUAAUCCCUGCAAGUCGAGCGAACAGACGAGGAGCUUGCUCCUCUGACGUUCGCGGCGGACGGGUGAGUAACACGUGGAUAACCUACCUAUAAGACUGGGAUAACUUCGGGAAACCGGAGCUAAUACCGGAUAAUAUAUUGAACCGCAUGGUUCAAUAGUGAAAGACGGUUUUGCUGUCACUUAUAGAUGGAUCCGCGCCGCAUUAGCUAGUUGGUAAGGUAACGGCUUACCAAGGCAACGAUGCGUAGCCGACCUGAGAGGGUGAUCGGCCACACUGGAACUGAGACACGGUCCAGACUCCUACGGGAGGCAGCAGUAGGGAAUCUUCCGCAAUGGGCGAAAGCCUGACGGAGCAACGCCGCGUGAGUGAUGAAGGUCUUCGGAUGGUAAAACUCUGUUAUUAGGGAAGAACAAAUGUGUAAGUAACUAUGCACGUCUUGACGGUACCUUAUCAGAAAGCCACGGCUAACUACGUG